AUUGAACGCUGGCGGCAUGCUUUACACAUGCAAGUCGAACGGUAACAGGCCUUCGGGUGCUGACGAGUGGCGAACGGGUGAGUAAUGCAUCGGAACGUGCCCAGAGGUGGGGGAUAACGCAGCGAAAGCUGUGCUAAUACCUCAUGUGAUCUGAGGAUGAAAGCGGGGGACCAGGCAGCAAUGUUUGGCCUCGCGCCUUUGGAGCGGCCGAUGUCAGAUUAGGUAGUUGGUGGGGUAAAGGCCUACCAAGCCGACGAUCUGUAGCUGGUCUGAGAGGACGACCAGCCACACUGGAACUGAGACACGGCCCAGACUCCUACGGGAGGCAGCAGUGGGGAAUUUUGGACAAUGGGCGCAAGCCUGAUCCAGCAAUGCCGCGUGCGGGAAGAAGGCCUUCGGGUUGUAAACCGCUUUUGUACGGAACGAAAAGGCUCUGGCUAAUACCUGGGGCUGAUGACGGUACCGUAAGAAUAAGCACCGGCUAACUACGUG
rnacentral:rRNA from 1 species